AUGAAGGUAGAUGAGAAGGAGAAAACUGUGGCGGUGCGCUCGGGGUUUCUCGGCGGCGGCGGCAAGGAGGAGACGUACACCCGGGCCGACAUGAUCGACCUCGAGAACCUAGACGUCGAGAAGCAGAGGGAGUCCAUCGCCAAGACUCUGGCUCUGGAGAAGCAGCGCCACAAGGACAACGAUCAGCCUAUGGCGCCCUGGGAGAUCGACCUCGCGAAGCUAGAGGUCCACCACCGGAUAGCACCUGGGACCUUCGGCUCUGUGUAUCGCGCCACCUACGACGGCAAGGACGUCCUAGCCAAACUAUUGGAUUGGGGAGACGAUGGAGUUAUGCCAGAGACUGAAAUUGCUAUUCAGCGUGAAGCACUGAGGAAGGAGGUUGUUGUCUGGAAGGACCUCGACCACCCAAAUGUCACAAAGUUCAUUGGUGCAUCAAUGGGUACCAUUGACCUUAAUUUUCCACCUGAGAGCGGGGAGUGUAGUGCACCCCCUGAUUUUCCAGAGAGUGCAUGUUGUGUCGUCGUCGAAUAUCUCAGUGGAGGUACACUGAGACAACAUCUAUAUGCGAACAGGGACAAUAAGCUUACAUAUGAAGAGGUGGUUGAGCUUGCAUUGGAUUUGGCUAGAGGAUUGGCCUAUCUACACUCGAAAGAUAUCGUGCAUCGGGAUGUCAAAGCAGAAAAUAUGCUGCUUGACGCAAAGGGGGCCCUUAAGAUUGCUGACUUUGGGGUCGCGCGUGUGCAAGCCAAGAAUCCAGGAGAGAUGACAGGCAUGACAGGCACGCCCGGCUACAUGGCUCCGGAGGUUAUUCUAGGCAAGCCAUACAACAGAAAGUGUGAUGUUUACAGCUUUGGGAUAUGCUUGUGGGCGAUCUAUUGCUGUGACAUGCCGUACUACCCAAACAAGAGCUUUGGAGAAGCCUCCUCUGAUAUUGUUCAUAAGAAUCUGCGGCCAAAGAUCCCACGCUGCUGCCCGGCCCCGUUGGCGAACAUCAUGAAGAGGUGCUGGCAGGCUGACCCUGAGAAGCGGCCCGACAUGUUGGACGUUGUGCAACUGCUGGACGCUCUUGACACAACCCACGGCGGAGACAUGAUUCCAGAAGGGAAGACCCCCGGAUGCUUCUGCUUUUUGAGACCCCGUCGUGCAGGUCCAUAG
rnacentral:rRNA from 1 species